UACGGAGGGUGCGAGCGUUGUCCGGAAUCACUGGGCGUAAAGGGCGCGUAGGCGGCCUGAUAAGUAGGGGGUGAAAUCCUGCGGCUUAACCACAGGGCUGCCUUCUAAACUGUCAGGCUGGAGCACAGUAGAGGCAGGUGGAAUUCCCGGUGUAGCGGUGGAAUGCGUAGAGAUCGGGAAGAACAUCAGUGGCGAAGGCGGCCUGCUGGGCUGUUGCUGACGCUGAGGCGCGACAGCGUGGGGAGCAAACAGG
rnacentral:rRNA from 1 species